AUAAAACAACAAAAUGAAAUGUAAAUAGUUUGAGCUGAAGAGAAUUAGGAAACUGGGGAUAAACACGGUGGUGGUAGUCGUGCACCGGAAUCUCUUCCAUAUCCAUCUUCUCAACUGAUUUGAACUUUGAUUUUCUCUGUACUCUGAUUUUUUAGAGGAACUACACUCCACUACUGUUUGAUCCUUGCUCGGCUCUCCCUGUGAUUUACCAGCAGAUGAUUCCACCCCAGGUUUGGUUGAAAUGUGUUGCUGCCCUUGUUCUUUAGUUACCUCCAGAGAAUUUUCCUCAUCAACCUUUGCUCUUUAUGAUGUUCCAGCUUUGUUUCCUCCUUCUUUGGCCUAUAUUCCGGAUGUACUACCCAACAGCCUUGUAUAUCAUGACCUUGUAGUUUACAGUGGUUGCAAUAUUUGGGCAAAUAGUCAUAUUGGAUCCUUUGCCAUUUUGCUUGUAUUUCUCCAUUCUCCUCGUCGACGCAACUAAUAUGGAUUCUCUUUGGCAAUUCUUUUAGAAGAUUUACUUCCACCUUCACACGUGCACAACUUGGUCUUGUCUGAUUAGUAGUUGAUUUAUCGAUCACCAAUGGUGUACCUACUGCUUGUGCCAUA